rnacentral:rRNA from 1 species
AGGGGUAACAGGAAGUGCUUGCACUUCGCUGACGACCGGCGCACGGGUGAGUACCGCGUAUACAAUCUGCUUCAUACUAGGGGAUAGCCCGAAGAAAUUUGGAUUAAUACCCUAUAGUAUCUUUUUAAGGCAUCUUAUUAAGAUUAAAGGUUACGGUAUGAGAUGAGUAUGCGUUCUAUUAGCUAGUAGGUGUGGUAACGGCACACCUAGGCUACGAUAGAUAGGGGCCCUGAGAGGGGGAUCCCCCACACUGGUACUGAGACACGGACCAGACUCCUACGGGAGGCAGCAGUGAGGAAUAUUGGACAAUGGGCGAAAGCCUGAUCCAGCCAUGCCGCGUGCAGGAUGACUGCCCUAUGGGUUGUAAACUGCUUUUAUAUAGGAAGAAAAACUUUCUCGUGAGAAAGCUUGACGGUACUAUAAGAAUAAGGAUCGGCUAACUCCGUGCCAGCAGCCGCGGUAAUACGGAGGAUCCAAGCGUUAUCCGGAAUCAUUGGGUUUAAAGGGUCCGUAGGUGGACAAAUAAGUCAGAGGUGAAAUCCUGCAGCUCAACUGUAGAACUGCCUUUGAUACUGUUUGUCUUGAGUUAUUAUGAAGUGGUUAGAAUGUGUAGUGUAGCGGUGAAAUGCAUAGAUAUUACACAGAAUACCGAUUGCGAAGGCAGAUCACUAAUAAUUAACUGACACUGAGGGACGAAAGCGUGGGUAGCGAACAGGAUUAGAUACCCUGGUAGUCCACGCCGUAAACGAUGGUCACUAGCUGUUUGGACUUCGGUCUGAGUGGCUAAGCGAAAGUGAUAAGUGACCCACCU